GGUUAAGCGACUAAGCGUACACGGUGGAUGCCCUGGCAGUCAGAGGCGAUGAAGGACGUGCUAAUCUGCGAUAAGCGUCGGUAAGGUGAUAUGAACCGUUAUAACCGGCGAUUUCCGAAUGGGGAAACCCAGUGUGUUUCGACACACUAUCAUUAACUGAAUCCAUAGGUUAAUGAGGCGAACCGGGGGAACUGAAACAUCUAAGUACCCCGAGGAAAAGAAAUCAACCGAGAUUCCCCCAGUAGCGGCGAGCGAACGGGGAGCAGCCCAGAGCCUGAAUCAGUGUGUGUGUUAGUGGAAGCGUCUGGAAAGGCGCGCGAUACAGGGUGACAGCCCCGUACACAAAAAUGCACAUGCUGUGAGCUCGAUGAGUAGGGCGGGACACGUGGUAUCCUGUCUGAAUAUGGGGGGACCAUCCUCCAAGGCUAAAUACUCCUGACUGACCGAUAGUGAACCAGUACCGUGAGGGAAAGGCGAAAAGAACCCCGGCGAGGGGAGUGAAAAAGAACCUGAAACCGUGUACGUACAAGCAGUGGGAGCACAGAGCAAUCUGUGUGACUGCGUACCUUUUGUAUAAUGGGUCAGCGACUUAUAUUCUGUAGCAAGGUUAACCGAAUAGGGGAGCCGAAGGGAAACCGAGUCUUAACUGGGCGUUAAGUUGCAGGGUAUAGACCCGAAACCCGGUGAUCUAGCCAUGGGCAGGUUGAAGGUUGGGUAACACUAACUGGAGGACCGAACCGACUAAUGUUGAAAAAUUAGCGGAUGACUUGUGGCUGGGGGUGAAAGGCCAAUCAAACCGGGAGAUAGCUGGUUCUCCCCGAAAGCUAUUUAGGUAGCGCCUCGUGAAUUCAUCUCCGGGGGUAGAGCACUGUUUCGGCAAGGGGGUCAUCCCGACUUACCAACCCGAUGCAAACUGCGAAUACCGGAGAAUGUUAUCACGGGAGACACACGGCGGGUGCUAACGUCCGUCGUGAAGAGGGAAACAACCCAGACCGCCAGCUAAGGUCCCAAAGUCAUGGUUAAGUGGGAAACGAUGUGGGAAGGCCCAGACAGCCAGGAUGUUGGCUUAGAAGCAGCCAUCAUUUAAAGAAAGCGUAAUAGCUCACUGGUCGAGUCGGCCUGCGCGGAAGAUGUAACGGGGCUAAACCAUGCACCGAAGCUGCGGCAGCGACGCUUAUGCGUUGUUGGGUAGGGGAGCGUUCUGUAAGCCUGCGAAGGUGUGCUGUGAGGCAUGCUGGAGGUAUCAGAAGUGCGAAUGCUGACAUAAGUAACGAUAAAGCGGGUGAAAAGCCCGCUCGCCGGAAGACCAAGGGUUCCUGUCCAACGUUAAUCGGGGCAGGGUGAGUCGACCCCUAAGGCGAGGCCGAAAGGCGUAGUCGAUGGGAAACAGGUUAAUAUUCCUGUACUUGGUGUUACUGCGAAGGGGGGACGGAGAAGGCUAUGUUGGCCGGGCGACGGUUGUCCCGGUUUAAGCGUGUAGGCUGGUUUUCCAGGCAAAUCCGGAAAACUAAGGCUGAGGCGUGAUGACGAGGCACUACGGUGCUGAAGCAACAAAUGCCCUGCUUCCAGGAAAAGCCUCUAAGCAUCAGGUAACAUCAAAUCGUACCCCAAACCGACACAGGUGGUCAGGUAGAGAAUACCAAGGCGCUUGAGAGAACUCGGGUGAAGGAACUAGGCAAAAUGGUGCCGUAACUUCGGGAGAAGGCACGCUGAUAUGUAGGUGAGGUCCCUCGCGGAUGGAGCUGAAAUCAGUCGAAGAUACCAGCUGGCUGCAACUGUUUAUUAAAAACACAGCACUGUGCAAACACGAAAGUGGACGUAUACGGUGUGACGCCUGCCCGGUGCCGGAAGGUUAAUUGAUGGGGUUAGCGGUAACGCGAAGCUCUUGAUCGAAGCCCCGGUAAACGGCGGCCGUAACUAUAACGGUCCUAAGGUAGCGAAAUUCCUUGUCGGGUAAGUUCCGACCUGCACGAAUGGCGUAAUGAUGGCCAGGCUGUCUCCACCCGAGACUCAGUGAAAUUGAACUCGCUGUGAAGAUGCAGUGUACCCGCGGCAAGACGGAAAGACCCCGUGAACCUUUACUAUAGCUUGACACUGAACAUUGAGCCUUGAUGUGUAGGAUAGGUGGGAGGCUUAGAAGUGUGGACGCCAGUCUGCAUGGAGCCGGCCUUGAAAUACCACCCUUUAAUGUUUGAUGUUCUAACGUUGGCCCCUGAUCGGGGUUGCGGACAGUGUCUGGUGGGUAGUUUGACUGGGGCGGUCUCCUCCUAAAGAGUAACGGAGGAGCACGAAGGUUGGCUAAUCCUGGUCGGACAUCAGGAGGUUAGUGCAAUGGCAUAAGCCAGCUUGACUGCGAGCGUGACGGCGCGAGCAGGUGCGAAAGCAGGUCAUAGUGAUCCGGUGGUUCUGAAUGGAAGGGCCAUCGCUCAACGGAUAAAAGGUACUCCGGGGAUAACAGGCUGAUACCGCCCAAGAGUUCAUAUCGACGGCGGUGUUUGGCACCUCGAUGUCGGCUCAUCACAUCCUGGGGCUGAAGUAGGUCCCAAGGGUAUGGCUGUUCGCCAUUUAAAGUGGUACGCGAGCUGGGUUUAGAACGUCGUGAGACAGUUCGGUCCCUAUCUGCCGUGGGCGCUGGAGAACUGAGGGGGGCUGCUCCUAGUACGAGAGGACCGGAGUGGACGCAUCACUGGUGUUCGGGUUGUCAUGCCAAUGGCACUGCCCGGUAGCUAAAUGCGGAAGAGAUAAGUGCUGAAAGCAUCUAAGCACGAAACUUGCCCCGAGAUGAGUUCUCCCUGACUCCUUGAGAGUCCUGAAGGAACGUUGAAGACGACGACGUUGAUAGGCCGGGUGUGUAAGCGCAGCGAUGCGUUGAGCUAACCGGUACUAAUGAACCGUGAGGCUUAACCUU
rnacentral:rRNA from 1 species